GGCUUUGCCUGGCGACGUAUCAUUCAAGUUUCCGCCCCAUCAACUUUUGAUGGUAGAGUAUUGGUCUACCAUGGUUAUAACGGGUAACGGGCGUUUAGGGACGGACGCCGAAGAGGCGGCCUGAGAGACGGCCGGCACAUCCAAGGAAGGCAGCAGGCGCGCAAAUUACCCAAUGGACAAAGUCCGAGGUAGUGACAAUAAAUAACAAUGCAGGGUCCUUUGGAUCUUGCUAUUGGAAUGAGUACAAUUUAAAACUCUUAACGAGGAACAAUUGGAGGGCAAGUCUGGUGCCAGCAGCCGCGGUAAUUCCAGCUCCAAUAGCGUAUAUGAACAUUGUUGCCGCUAAAAAGCUCGUAGUUGAAUUUCGGGAUGGAGCGACUGGUCUGCCCUUGUGGUGUGCACCGGUUUAUCUGUCCUUUUGCUUGGGGAAACGUAUCGCCCUUCAUUGGGUGUGCAUGUACCCAGGCCUUUUACUUUGGGAAAAUUAGAGUGUUCAAAGCAGGCUUACGCCUUGAAUAUGUUAGCAUGGAAUAAUGAAAUAGGACUUUGGUUUUAUUUUGUUGGUUUCUGAAACUAAAGUAAUGAUUAAUAGGGGCAGUUGGGGGCAUUAAUAUUUAAUUGUCAGAGGUGAAAUUCUUGGAUUUAUGAAAGAUUAACUUCUGCGAAAGCAUUUGCCAAGGAUGUUUUCAUUAAUCAAGAACGAAAGUCAGGGGAGCGAAGAUGAUUAGAUACCGUCGUAGUCCUGUACCGUCAACGAUGCCGACUAGGGAUCAGAGGAUGAUAUUUUAUGUCUCCUUUGGCACCUUCCGAGAAGUCAAGGUUAUUUGGUUCGGGGGGGAGUAUGGUCGCAAGGCUGAAACUUAAAGAGAUUGACGGAAGGGCACCACCAGGAGUGAAGCCUGCGGCUUAAUUUGACCCAACACGGGAAAACUUACCAGGUCCAGACAUAGUAAGGAUUGACAGAUUGAGAGCUCUUUCUUGAUUCUAUGGGUGGUGGUGCAUGGCCGUUCUUAGUUGGUGGAGUGAUUUGUCUGCUUAAUUGCGAUAACGAACGAGACCAUAGCCUACUAAAUAGUCACGCGGAUCCUAGAUCCGUGGCCGACUUCUUAGAGGGACUAUAUGAGUCAAUCAUAUGGAAGCGGAUGGCAAUAACAGGUCUGUGAUGCCCUUAGAUGUUCUGGGCUGCACGCGCGCUACACUGACAUGGUCAACGAGUUUUGUCCUUGACCGAGAGGUCCGGGUAAUCUUUUAAAACCAUGUCGUGCUGGGGAUUGACAAUUGCAAUUAUUUGUCAUCAACGAGGAAUUCCUAGUAAGCGCGAUUCAUCAGAUCGCGUUGAUUACGUCCCUGCCCUUUGUACACACCGCCCGUCGCUCCUACCGAUCGGAUGAUCCGGUGAAAUCUUCGGACUGUUGCUUUGCAGCUGGUCUCCAGCAGCUUUAGCAGCGGGAAGUUGAUUGAACCUUAUCAUCUAGAGGAAGGAAAAGUCGUAACAAGGUU
rnacentral:rRNA from 1 species